GAUGAACGCUAGCGGCAGGCCUAAUACAUGCAAGUCGAACGGUGUCUUCGGACAUAGUGGCGCACGGGUGCGUAACACGUAUGCAACCUACCUUACAUUGGGGGAUAGCCUUUCGAAAGGGAGAUUAAUACCGCAUAAGACAGUAGUCUGGCAUCAGACAGCUGUUAAAGAUUUAUCGAUGUAAGCUGGGCAUGCGUCCAAUUAGUUAGUUGGCGGGGUAACGGCUCACCAAGACUAUGAUUGGUAGGGGAACUGAGAGGUCAAUCCCCCACACUGGCACUGAGAUACGGGCCAGACGCCUACGGGAGGCAGCAGUAGGGAAUAUUGGGCAAUGGACGCAAGUCUGACCCAGCCAUGCCGCGUGCAGGAAGAAGGCGUUAUGCGUUGUAAACUGCUUUUAUACAGGAAGAAACGACUCUUGCGAGAGGCAUUGACGGUACUGUAUGAAUAAGCACCGGCUAACUCCGUGCCAGCAGCCGCGGUAACAC
rnacentral:rRNA from 1 species